AUUGAACGCUGGCGGCAGGCCUAACACAUGCAAGUCGAGCGGAUGAAGGGAGCUUGCUCCUGGAUUCAGCGGCGGACGGGUGAGUAAUGCCUAGGAAUCUGCCUGGUAGUGGGGGAUAACGUCCGGAAACGGGCGCUAAUACCGCAUACGUCCUGAGGGAGAAAGUGGGGGAUCUUCGGACCUCACGCUAUCAGAUGAGCCUAGGUCGGAUUAGCUAGUUGGUGGGGUAAAGGCCUACCAAGGCGACGAUCCGUAACUGGUCUGAGAGGAUGAUCGGUCACACGGGAACUGGGACACGGUCCAGACUCCUACGGGAGGCAGCAGUGGGGAAUAUUGGACAAUGGGCGAAAGCCUGAUCCAGCCAUGCCGCGUGUGUGAAGAAGGUCUUCGGAUUGUAAAGCACUUUAAGUUGGGAGGAAGGGCAGUAAGUUAAUACCUUGCUGUUUUGACGUUACCAACAGAAUAAGCACCGGCUAACUUCGUG
rnacentral:rRNA from 1 species